GUGGCUGUAGCUCAGCGGUAGAGUGCUUGCCUAGCAAGUGCAAGGCCCUGGGUUUGAUCCUCAGCACCACA
rnacentral:tRNA from 1 species